CGCUGAAUAGACUGACUCAGAAGUGCACAUGAAUGGGCUUUCGCUGACCAAAUCGGGAAAUUUACAAAUAAGAAGGUAUCAACUGUCCAGUGGAGGUCAAGAAUAAAUUAUAAAUGGAGAACAAUUCCCAAGUGUCUGUGAAUACUACAACACAGAACAGCAAGGCACUUUCCAGUGAUGAAUAUUCUUAUUUUUCCUUGUCGAUGGAGGCAGAAAAUAUCACCAUGCACACCAAACCCCAGAAUUCCCAUCGGUCUUUAUGGAUGAAGCCCAGCUUAGGCCAUCUCUACUCCCAUGGUGCUUUUCAAUUCCUU